ensembl:lncRNA
UCUGGAAAGAAUGUACUGACAUAAAUCUCCGCAGCGUGAGAUAAAGCAUCGGGCGUGUUUUAGUGCUUCGUAGGAAGAUAAUUUCCUUGCGGUUUCUCGCAAGAGGUGUCAGGGGCAUCGCUUGCUGGACGGGAUUCCAGAAGGCAGUGUGGCUGUAUAGGGGCUCGGCUUUGUUUUCUGCCCCGCCGACGUAGCUUUGGGUGUUCUGGCAAUGCCCAUGAAGAUCAAGGAGCAGAAUAAAAUCUGUGAUCUGACAGCAGCCCAGGUGGAGAUCUGCAUGCUCCCUUGGCAGAUGAUGUUUGUAGAGAAGUGUGUGGAAGUGGAUGCUUGGCUGUGUCCUGGUAUUGGUGACACAGGAUAAGCUACACUGGCUGCAUUACUUCAAGAUUAGGAAGGAGACCUUUAGGUAUAGGCUGUGCGUAAAGAACCAUUUUGCUAUUACUCGCUACGCAGGUAAAAUUGUUUUUCCUGGGGAAAAGAGGUGGUUGCACUGGGAAAACUGGCUGCUUGGAGUAGUACAAUUAGCAGCGCUGGCGUGCCUGGGUUUUCAAAUGCUGAGAAGCACCAGGAAUAAACUUAUCACUGUGCUGUACCCACGUGAUGUGUAUAAUCAGCUGUGAAUUAUUUAUUUCUAUUUUAACUGCAGCUAGUCAGCAUUUCUAGACCAUGCGAGACUCUGGUCUGGGUAGGCACAAAUCCCUCAGACUGAGCAGAAGCAGAGCACACGGAUGGCAUUUCAGUGUCAGUUCCCAGAUAUCGUGCAGCACUACAAAAUAUUCCAGCAGCGGCAGGAGCACUGGAAAUGCUACUUAAUGAUCACACAGCAGGAGCAGCCCCUCUGCUGAUAAACGCUUCUCUGGGCUGGACAGUGUGGAAACAGCGUUAAAAGAAACCAGGCCCACUUGUCCUGCCAAACAGGUUGUUGCCAUGCACAGUCGAACUGCAGCAGCUUUAGUGCAACAACAGGGUUUAGGAGAAAAAUCAUAGCGUAGCCAUGAAAUGAGCUGUCGGAGAGAACCAGCAGGACAGUAUGUGUAUGGAGAUUGUACUGCUGGUGACAAAGCGUAAGCCCUGGCCUUGGAAAAAAUUAGUGUGCAGAGAGCUGCAGCAUAACAUUACAGUGUGCCAACUAGUUUACUGUGGGAAAUGUGUGCUGCUUCACUUUUAAUCUCUAUUCUUUUCAUAGGGGUAUUGGAAAAGGAAGUAAAACAGCUGCUGUAAAGCCUAGCAAGUGACGUGAUUCUUGUGAAUAGUUGUGAAAAAAAAUGUAGAGCUAUUUAUGAAUGGAAAGCAUUAUACAAAUAAAAUGUAAACAGUUGGUAUGUUUGAGCUACCUUCGAGGCAUCUUCAGUUUCAAAGUAUUGCAUAAAGUUACUUGAAACCAUUAGGUGAAAUUUGUCUCCUCUAUUCUUUCUGAGAUUUCUGCAUAGUGAGAAGACAAAAUCAAAGUCCUCUUUGAGGAGUUUGCAGUCCAGCUCAGCUUUCUUAUAGGUAGUCCCACCGAAUGUGAUCUAACUCUAUAAACCAUCACAUAUUCAAUAAGAAAUAGUAGUGUGGGAGAAGCAAGAGAACAGAAGACAGAAACUGCUCUAUUUGUGAGUGAUAAGGAGAAGUGAUUUGUUAUUCCUUUCCUUACUGAACAGUGUAAAUGCUCUGUUCUCUUCUAAGGCGCUUAAGACACCUAAGCUACCGUAAGCCAUUACUGUGGUUAUUAGUUCAGCCCUCAAAGAGUAAUAUGUAUUUCACAGAACAAAUAAGAUAAAUGCCCUUUUACCAUAGAGCUUGCAAACUAUGUUUUGUCACAGGUGAGAGCAACAACUAGAAAAGAGGUCUAUACAGAAGAAAUGCAGAAAUAUGGGUAGGCUUCUGCAGUCCUCUCCGUUCUCUGAGACACCAGGAAGCACGGUGCCUGUGUGGUUACCUGCUGCGAGGGGAUCACGGCUGUGCAAUUUUGCUCUUUAAUCAUAUUGAUGCAUAUCUAUCCCUGGGGGAGCUGGUGGUUGUAAGUAACAGGAGUGUGCAGGAUCUCUGUAUUUCUGCUCGUGGGCCAUUGCAAUCUGUGCAAUGGAUGCCCAAGGUUCUGUUGCGUAGGGAAGGUUUGUGUGAAGGUAGGGUCGUGCUCUGCUGGCUGCCAGCCAGCUGCCCAUAUGGUUGCCAGAAUGCAGCAUUAAUUUUCUGAGGCAGCGUGUGUCCGAAAUACAGUGCCACACCAUAUAAAUCAGCACGCUAUUGGAAGUUAUAAAUUCACAGAUAAGAUGGAAUUGUUAAAGUAACCCUUACUGUGGCUUCUUGAGUGUACACAUGUUUUUAGAGCAGAAGCAUCAGAGCUGGAAUUCUGCAUAGUGUAAUGCAAAAGCUUACAGGAGAGCAGCAGGAACACUGCAAACCUGGGUCAUCAAACUGCAGUCCUUACGUGGAUGGCACACCCACUGAG